GGCGCAGAGACAUCCUCCCAGGACCCAGGCAGGCAGCUCAGAGCCUUGGUCCACCACCCUGUGCUGUGUUGGGCGUCAUCUCUAACUCACUUGGGAUUGGUCCAAAUAGCCACAGUAAAGUUAGUCAUCACUCCCACAUAUUCUGCAGGACAACUGGCCAACUCUACCCAGGACUUUGGGUCUUGGCCUUGCCUGAUAUGAGUGCAUGUCCCUCCUGUGUGACUUUGGACAUGGACAAAGUGUUUCCAGAGAAGAUUGAUACUGGACAGAGUGAUGACUCUCCCUCCCCAGGAGCAAAUCCAUCCAGAAGUCUGGCCCUGCCCUGAAGAGGAAGACAGAACAAGGGGAAGCUCCCUGCUGGUUCUUCCCUCUGGAGCAGGCGUGUUCUCUCCUGCUGCUGCUGCUGGACAUCUGACCCCAGUUCCUAGAGCCUCUGGAC